rnacentral:rRNA from 1 species
GACAGAGGGUGCAAACGUUGUUCGGAAUUACUGGGCGUAAAGCGUGCGCAGGCGGUUUUGUAAGCCGGGUGUGAAAUCCCCGGGCUUAACCUGGGAAUGGCAUUCGGGACUGCAAGGCUGGAGUGCGGCAGAGGAGACUGGAAUUCCUGGUGUAGCAGUGAAAUGCGUAGAUAUCAGGAGGAACACCGAUGGCGAAGGCAGGUCUCUGGGCUGACACUGACGCUCAUGCACGAAAGCGUGGGGAGCAAACAGG